rnacentral:rRNA from 1 species
AUUGAACGCUGGCGGCAUGCCUUACACAUGCAAGUCGAACGGCAGCACGGGUGCUUGCACCUGGUGGCGAGUGGCGAACGGGUGAGUAAUACAUCGGAGCAUGUCCUGUAGUGGGGGAUAGCCCGGCGAAAGCCGGAUUAAUACCGCAUACGAUCUACGGAUGAAAGCGGGGGACCUUCGGGCCUCGCGCUAUAGGGUUGGCCGAUGGCCGAUUAGCUAGUUGGUGGGGUAAAGGCCUACCAAGGCGACGAUCAGUAGCUGGUCUGAGAGGACGACCAGCCACACUGGGACUGAGACACGGCCCAGACUCCUACGGGAGGCAGCAGUGGGGAAUUUUGGACAAUGGGCGAAAGCCUGAUCCAGCAAUGCCGCGUGUGUGAAGAAGGCCUUCGGGUUGUAAAGCACUUUUGUCCGGAAAGAAAUCCUUGGCCCUAAUACGGUCGGGGGAUGACGGUACCGGAAGAAUAAGCACCGGCUAACUACGUG